CGGGGCGUGGCCCAGUUGGUUUAAGGCGCCUGCUUUGGGAGCAGGAGACCCCGAGUUCGAAUCUCGGCGCCCCGA
rfam:Candidatus Falkowbacteria bacterium RIFCSPLOWO2_12_FTLL_45_10 rifcsplowo2_12_scaffold_30793, whole genome shotgun sequence.